AACGAGAGGAGAAGGAAGCUUGCUUCUUUCAAAUCUAGUGGCAAACGGGUGAGUAACACGUAAACAACCUGCCUUCAGGAUGGGGACAACAGACGGAAACGACUGCUAAUACCGAAUACGUUCCUUAGGUCGCAUGAUCUUAGGAAGAAAGGGUGGCCUCUACCUGUAAGCUAUCGCCUGAAGAGGGGUUUGCGUCUGAUUAGGUAGUUGGCGGGGUAACGGCCCACCUAGUCUUCGAUGGAUAGGGGUUCUGAGAGGAAGGUCCCCACAUUGGAACUGAGACACGGUCCAAACUCC
rnacentral:rRNA from 1 species